ensembl:lncRNA
CCCCGUGGCCCUGAGCCUACUCUCCGAGGGUAAAGGCCCUGAGCCUACUCUCCAAGGGUAAAGGCCCCGCAGCCCUGAGCCUACUCUCCGAGGGCCCCGCCCCCGCGGCCCUGAGCCCAGUCUCCGAGGGUAAAGGCCCCGCCCCACGGCCCUGAGCCCAGUCUCCGAGGGUAAAGGCCCCGCCCCACGGCCCUGAGCCUACUCUCCGAGGGUAAAGGCCCCGCGGCCCUGAGCCUACUCUCCGAGGGUAAAGGCCCCGCGGCCCUGAGCCUACUCUCCGAGGGUAAAGGCCCCGCGGCCCUGAGCCUACUCUCCGAGGGUAAAGGCCCCGCGGCCCUGAGCCUACUCUCCGAGGGUAAAGGCCCCGCGGCCCUGAGCCCAGUCUCCGAGGGUAAAGGCCCCGCCCCACGGCCCUGAGCCUACUCUCCGAGGGUAAAUGCCCCGUGGCCCUGAGCCUACUCUCCAAGGGUAAAGGCCCCGCAGCCCUGAGCCUACUCUCCGAGGGUAAAGGCCCUGAGGGUGUCUCAUGGGCACAAAACACAGUUCCAUUUAACACCUCACACUGUACAGGUCACCAACUAUUUGACAUUUUGAACCCCUGAAGACAACGCAGCCAAGCCUCGGGGUUAGUGUGUGAGUGUGUGUGUGUGUGUGUGUGUGUGUGUGUGUCUGAUGGUGAUCUGUGGUCCCCUGAGGGAUGUGGAGACGUGUUUCCCUGAGUCUUCCUGCAGCUAAAUCAGUGUAUUAAACCUGCCACACACACCCAUCUGUGCUUUGUAAAUCUGUGCACACCCAGCAAUCUAAAUGACACACAGCCAGUUCUCUAAAU